rnacentral:rRNA from 1 species
CCUACGGGUGGCAGCAGUGAGGAAUAUUGGUCAAUGGGCGCGAGCCUGAACCAGCCAAGUCGCGUGAAGGAUGACUGCCCUACGGGUUGUAAACUUCUUUUGUAAAGGAAUAAAGUGAGGCACGUGUGCCUGUUUGUGUGUACUUUAUGAAUAAGGAUCGGCUAACUCCGUGCCAGCAGCCGCGGUAAUACGGAGGAUCCGAGCGUUAUCCGGAUUUAUUGGGUUUAAAGGGAGCGUAGAUGGGUUGUUAAGUCAGUUGUGAAAGUUUGCGGCUCAACCGGAAAAUGGCAAUUGAUACUGGCAGUCUUGAGUACAGUUGAGGUAGGCGGAAUGCGCGGUGUAGCGGUGAAAUGCUUAGAUAUCACGAAGAACCCCGAUUGCGAAGGCAGCUUACUAAACUGUGACUGACAUUGAUGCUCGAAAGUGUGGGUAUCAAACAGGAUUAGAUACCCCUGUAGUC